UACAAUAGACACUCCACUCGGAUCGUCGGGCACGUACCUGCCCGUGGAGGAGAGAUAU
rfam:Varibaculum cambriense DORA_20 Q618_VCMC00002, whole genome shotgun sequence.